AUUUGUUUGGUAGUGGAUGCUCAGUGGUUGAAGUUCUACAAGAGAAAUCCAAUCAGAUGGUUAAAUCAUUUGUUUGAUCAAUAAGGGACGUCACCGUAUUCAGGGAACGGUUUCAACAUGACAAUGACGGAUGUUGCCGUUAAGGUUCUUAUAGAUCAGGACUUUUAUGAGGAUCAACUGAAAGACUUUCUAAGGGAGGUAUGCAUUUGAAACAUUACUAAUAAUGUUCUUUGAAACUGUACCCAUUUA